UUUUUUGCGGUACGCGGGCCUCUCACUGUUAUGGCCUCUCCCGUUGCGGAGCACAGGCUCCGGACGCGCAGGCUCAGCGGCCAUGGCUCACGGGCCCAGCCGCUCUGCGGCAUGUGGGAUCUUCCCUGACCGGGGCACAAACCCGUGUCCCCUGCAUCGGCAGGCGGACUCUCAACCACUGUGCCACCAGGGAAGCCCUCUUUCUUUUUUUAAAAUAUUUAUUUACUUAUUUUUGGCUGCGUUGGGUCUUUGUUGCAGUGCGCGGGCUUUUCAUUGCGGUGGCUUCUCGUUGCGGAGCACGGGCUGUAGGCGCACGGGCUUCAGUUGUUGUGGCACGCGGGCUCAGUAGUUGUGGCUCUUGGGCUCUAGAGCGCAGGCUCAGUAGUUGUGGUGCACGGGCUUAGUUGCUCCACGGCAAGUGGGAUCUUCCCAGACCAGGGCUCAAACCCGUGUCCCCUGUAUUGGUAGGCGAUUCUUAACCACUGCGCCACCAGGGAAGCCCCUCCUCAUUUAUUUCUUUAAUGUUUUUGUCCCUUGCAUCAGAUGUUACGGUCUUUAAGAUUAUGCCCUGAGGCAGUUUUAGAAGAUACCCAGAAAUUCUGUGAGACUAUCCUUUGAAAGGUGCAGAUCUAUGUCUUUCCCUUGCCCCAAACCUCGGCGGGUUUCUAACUCCCUUGUAAUCAAUAGAGUGUGAUGGAAAUGCCGAAUGUGUGAAUCCUGAGGCCAAGAAUAAAUGCUUGCAGCUUCUACCUUGUUUGCCAAACACUUGGUUUUGGAGCCCUGAGCUGUAAGGUAAGAAGUCUGAGCCCAGGCCAUAGUGAGAGGUUACGUGUAGGUGCUACGAUCAAUAGCUCCAAGCGGAGGUCUCAGCAGACAGUCAGCCUUAUACACCAGACAUGGAAGUGAAGGCGCCUCCAUGUGAAUCCAGCCUCCAGCAGUCAGGCCUUCCAGCCCUGGAGCCUUCCCAGCUGAGGCCCCAGGGGUCAUGCAGCGGAAACGGGCCUUUUCUGCUGGCCCCGUCUGGAUCUCUGACCCACAGAAUCUGGGAGCAAAAGAAAAUGUUUGUUUUAAGCCUUUAUGUUUUGGGUUAACUUGUUAUAUAUAUACAUACAUACAUAUACACAUCUUUAUAUUCAUAUUUAUUCGAUUUAUUUAUUUUUAUUGAAGUAUAGUAAAUUUACAAUUCUGUGUUAGUUUCAAGUAUACAGCAAAGUGAUUCAGUUAUAUAUAUAUUCUUUUUCAGGUUCUUUUUCAUUGUAAGUUAUUAUAAGAUAUUGAGUAUAGGGAACUCCCUGGCGGUCCAGUGUUUAGGACCCUGUGCUCUCACUGCCAAGGACCCAGGUUCGAUCCCUGGUCAAAGAUCUCACAAGCCACGUGGUGUGGCCAAAACAAAACAAAACAAAACUGAGUAUAGUUCCCUUGGGUUAACUUGUUAUAAAGCAAUAGUAAUCAGAACACAGUCCUAAACUGAGUCUUCCACCCUUCUCUGUACAACUAAAAGUUUGGAGGGCAGUGAUGGAGAACUCAUGGUCCCUGUAGGCCCACUGGCUCCCAAGAAGAAAAAAAUGGUGGAGCUGAGUCAAGGGUUCCCUUUUAAUCUUCCCAUAAUUACCAAUGAGAUAUGUCAUUUUUGCAUGGAUUAACUUUCUUCCUCAUCAAAGCAAUAUCAGGAGAAGGGGACAAGUGUUCACCUCUGUCAAGAAGGGUGUUUUAGGGGCUUCCCUGGUGGCGCAGUGGUUGAGAAUCUGCCUGUCAAUGCAGGGGACACAGGUUUAAGCCCUGGUCUGGGAAGAUCCCACAUGCCGCGGAGCAACUAAGCCCGUGCGCCACAACUACUGAGCCUGCGUGUCUGGAGCCUGCGCUCUGCAACAAGAGAGGCCGCGAUAGUGAGAGGCCCACGAACCGCGAUGAAGAGUGGCCCCCGCUCGCUGCAACUAGAGAAAGCCUGCACGCAGCAACGAAGACCCAACGCAGCUAAAAAUAAAUAUAAUUAAUUAAUUAAUUAAAAAAAUAAAGAGGGGUGUUUUAAAGGGUUUAUUCUGCAUCUCCUCUCCCCCUAAAUUAUUUCAGUUGACUAUUUCUUUUUGUUAUAGUGUCGUAAUAUAAAUUAUAGUAAAGUUAAAAGAAUGAGUUAUAAUAUAUUUAUGUUACAUAAUUAUAUACUAUAUAUAAUUAAGAAGUUAUAAUAAAAAUGUUAUAAUAAAAAAUAAAAAUUCUCGUAUUUGUUUUCUCUUCAAAUGUCUUAGUUUCUUGGCUAUCUCUUCACAUAGGUGUGCAGCAUUAUAACUCUGGAAGCUCUGAGUACGUGGGCAGGGUUGUGGACACACGGACCUCACACAGGGAAACUGAUGGCCACCAUGUCACACACUGCAGUGGAAACCAUUCACAGAGGAUCCAAUGUGAGUGCCCACCUGGAGUUGUGCAGCAGUGCAGCCCUACAAGAGUACAGAUGGAGUGAGGGGUAAGAAGUGAUCAAAGUCAGAUCAAAGGAAUGUGACCAAGAUUCCCAAAGGUGUUUUUUCUUUUUUGCGGUACGCGGGGCUCUCACUGUUGUGGCCUCUCCCGUCGCGGAGCACAGGCUCCGGACGCGCAGGCCCAGUGGCCAUGGCCCACGGGCCCAGCCGCUCCGUGGCAUGUGGGAUCCUCCCGGACCGGGGCACGAACCCGUGUCCCCUGCAUCGGCAGGCGGACCCUCAACCACUGCGCCACCAGGGAAACCCCCCGAAGGUAUUUUGAGCCUGGUGUAAAAAGAAGGGAAAGAGAGGAUUGAUGGGAAAAUUAGGGGUGUGUAGUUCAAAUGGGAAUCACCAUUAACAAAGAUUUAGAGGCAAUAGUAAGCCUCUUAUAUGCAGUGAUUCCUGGGCAGAUUGUCCCAGUAAAAGAAGACUCGUUGCACCAGACUCUCCUGGUAGAUUAGGGUGGAAUUUUUUUUUAUUGAAGUAUAGUUGAUUUAUAAUGUGUUAAUUUCCACUGUACAGCAAAGUGCUUCAGUUAUACAUAUAUAUAUCUUUUUUUAAUAUAUUCUUUUUCAUUAUGGUUUAUAAUAGGAUACUGAAUAUAGUUCUCUGUGGUAUACAGUGGGACCUUGUUGUUUAUUAUGGUGGAAUGAUUUGAAGACUGAAGUGAGUCCUUGGCCCACCCACAUUCAGUCUUUUUUUUUUUUAUUUUAUUAUUUAUUUAUUAUUUUUGGCUGUAUUGGGUCUUCGUUGCUGUGUGUGGGCUUUCUCUAGUUGUGGCGAGCAGGGGCUACUCUUCGUUGUGGUGUGUGGGCUUCUCAUCGCGGGGGCUUCUCUUAUUGCUGAGCACAGGCUCUAGAGCACAGGCUCAGUAGUUGUGGCUCGCGGGCUCUAGAACACAGGUUCAGUAGUUGUGGUGCACGGGCUUAGUUCCUCCGACAUGUGGGAUCUUCCCGAACCAGGGCUGGAAUCCGUGUCACCUGCAUUGGCAGGCAGAUUCUUAACCACUGUGUCACCAGGGAAGUCCCCCACAUUCAGUCUUGAUAGUUUAAUUUGGAUGUCAGUGACCCCUUUUUCAAUUGUCUGCUUAAUUGCUUCCCAUAAGUGUCCCACUGAUAGUCUAACUUAAACAAUUUUUCUUCUCUCUAGCCCAAUCAUGCUAAUACUCAUAACCUCAGACUCAGUCUUUUAAUGUCCCUCAUUCACUCCUCUUCUGAAACUCAGUCAGUCUUCAGGUUGUUUCAAUCUGUACCUCACAAAGUUUCUCCAGAAAAACUUCUAAGUGGCCAGUGCAAAACUUCUGAGAGUUUAUGAUUUCUCAAGACUGUCUUUUAUUACCCAUCCGACACGGCAAGUUCUAAGCUAAAACUCCACCUCUUGCUUGGUGAGGUAGUGAGUGGGUUGCUGAAAGGUUGGCGGCAGGAGAUGAUUUUUAAUGGAUCAUACGUGUCUGUUUCUGCCUUAUUAACUGUAUUAUGUUAACCUUAUUUAAAUUUCCUCAAAUAUUUGUGGAAAGCUGUGGGGCAUAGAUAAGAUGUGUAAGAUGUUUCAAGGAUUCAGACUCUCUGUAUCUGUCAUGUCCUUGCCAUCCCACAGCCCUUACCCCAGGCCAGGGCAGGCUCUUCACGUUGAGAUGACACCAAUAAUUUCCAGAUUGGGCCUUUGGUCUCUACAUUUUAAGAGUUAUCUUUUUAUACACCGUUUUGCUCAUAUGCUCUUAAUCCUAGCUUUGAUUCUUCCUCUCAACCGGCCCUUGAUCUUGUUAGAUUUGGUUAUAUGUUAUGCUUUUUUUUUUUUUAACCCUUUUAAGCACAUGGGCCUGGUGGAAACAGCAGUGAAUCUACAAUGUCCCUUUUUGUUUUGUUCUUGGAGAAAAAUGGAAGCUUCCGCAUGGUACAUGGGUUCCAGGAGUGCUAGUCUAGCUGCACCCACUUAGGGAUUCAGGCUGCUGACCUUUGCAUUUGAUCCUCCUAUUCUGUGUUCCGAGGGAUGCCUUAUUACAGGUUACCUGGCCCAGAUUGGCAGAAACACACUGACUAGUGCAUAUCAAGAUGUACAUGGAGGCAACAUGGCUGAGCUAGGGCUCUCUAAGGAUAUGGGGAAAUCAGAAGACUUAGAGGCUGAGAGACCAGAGGUUAGACAGUAAAAGGGAUAGAAAGACCAGAAAUGUGUAUAAACACAGAGGGAAUGGAGUCCUGGGGGCCCUGGCCUUUAGAUUAAGUGGCUCAUUCAUAGCGGGUAUUUGAAUGUUUGUCGACACGGAAUGAAUCUUGGAACUCUGAGGUACUAUGGAACGUUUUGCAACCAUGUAGGAACUAUGGAACUAUGGCCCCAGAGGGACCACUGCUACUCAUGGCCAGGUUCGGGAGUGGAGGUAGGGACCGGCAAAAGAAAUACAACUCAGUUGUUCCGCCUGCCGAACACUAACUUGCACAUCCUACCAACACUUUAAACUCCUUGUAUCUAAAACUGAGCACCUCAUCUUUGUUACCAAACUGGCUUCUUCUCCUGCCGUUACUGUUGCUGACAGUUGCUUCGGUUCAUCAGCUUGUAUCCUUUUUUCCCCCUUCUCUUCCAUAUCUAAAGUCUCAAGAUUUUGAGAAUAUUUUCUAGGCAAGAGUAAGUUUUAUUUUGCUACCUUCCACCUAGCAAUACAUACAGGACUCACUUUUAUAAAAUGUUAGUAUUUCUAUGUCAGUACAACAGUACCCAUUCCUGUGUGCUCCUGUGUGUUGCAGAAGCUUAGACCUCUGUUCUAGCUUUCUCAUUCUUGCACUCAGGCAUGCUGCAGUGAUUUUCCUCCAUCACCAGACUUUUGAUUUCUCUCUUCCACUCCUGUCACCCUCAUGCAGGACUUUAGCCACCUCUCUCCUUGGGUAGGCACGAAUAAUCUGGGCUGUUCUCUUUGCCCUUUGAUCUACUUUAUUAAAGAUUUCUCAGUUGUUGUGGAACAUUCUACAGCGAUCUUAUAAUGUCUAUGGUGAUCUCUCUUGAUUUCAACUGUUUCCAAAUAUUGUUCUCUGGUUGCUGUUGUUGGUUGUUUUCUUCCCCCCCAUAUGUACCACAUUUCUUCCCAGCAAAAUGGUAACUCUCCAGAAGCAGAACCAACACUUUUGUUUAAGAAAUUAUAUUCCUACUCUACUUCAUACUGAUUGCUAGAGAAUUCUGGAGAGCUGCCCUGCAACAUGUACUGAAUAAAUGCUAAGUAACUUGACUUAAUAGGACAGAUGGGACCUCUCUGUCUUAUUUCUUUUUUUUCUUUUUUUUUUUGCGGUACGCGGGCCUCUCACUGCUGUGGCCUCUCCCGUUGCGGAGCACAGGCUCCGGACGCGCAGGCUCAGCGGCCAUGGCUCACGGGCCCAGCCGCUCCGCGGCAUGUGGGAUCUUCCCAGACCAGGGCACGAACCCACGUCCCCUGCAUCGGCAGGCGGACUCUCAACCACUGAGCCACCAGGGAAGCCCAUCUGUCUUAUUUCUUAAAGCUGCAUGUGAAUCUGUAAUUAGCUCAACAUAAAAAGAGUUUAACAUUGAAAAUAAAAACGCAAGGCUCAAGAUUUUGACGCAAUCAUCCGUCACACUUCCUCUCCUCCAUUCACAAAUUGCUGUAAAGAUUCUUUGCUACAAUAACGUACGAAUGCUUGUUGAAUUUGAAGCAUCUUUGUUUACAUCGUUCCAGCCAGAUGGCUUAGGUUUUUAAAAUCCUAAACAACUGUUGGGCUGUUUCCUUUCUCUGGGGUCUGAGUGAAGGGGGAGGUGGAGGGUAGAGGUUGUACCUUGAAGACAGGAUGCAGCCCCAGGAAGCACCUCAUGGUGGCCUCAGCGGUGACCUCAGCCAGCAGAUGGGUGUUCGGCAGAUGACAUAGGAGCUGGUGCAGUUGGAAAUCUGAAUUUUGGACCCAGGACUUUGCCAGGAGCCAGGCAAACAAAGUGUUCCAGAGUUCUUCCGCCAGCUCUGAGGUUUCCACAGCUUGCCUGUUUCUCUUGGCUUUAUGAGUACCGGGAGGCUCCCCCAUCUAGUACUGCUUGGUAGCCAGCAGGUGGCGCUCAAAGGUCAAAGUAGGCUAAAGAGCCUUCCUGGAUUUGCCAGUUACCUUAGGAAGAUAGAGAACAAAUAACCAAGAAGAGGUCGGUUCCAUUCCUACCCGUCCCCCACUCCAUCUCCCUCCCUUUCCCCAACCCCCAUUGCUAGGUACAGAGGGUCAGUCCGUGUAAAUAUAACCAGGCCAUUGAGUUGGAAUCUUGGAGUACAAAUACUUUUGAGCUGAUGAAAAAAUCGCUACUAUGUAAAUAGGUUAGGCUGAGGCAAGCCUUGCCCCAGUGUCAGGACUGCUGACCCCAGAGCCCAUCCCAAGGCUGCAGGGAGAUGAAGAGGGUGCCUUUAGGGUGGCCUCCAGUGUCCAAGGCCAGAAUACACCCAGAGAGGGUGCUCUACUAAAGCCCCGUUGAACCCUGAAUGCCUGUGCCCUUGUAGCCAGCACUCUCCUUCUGUCCAUUCUAAGUGCUGCCAGCCACCCUGGGUGGGCAAGCAGGAUAGAGGGUGGACUCAGAGGGGUGGGGGGGGAGAAGGGAAAGAGGAAGGGUGCAGCCAGGAGCAGGGCUGUUUGGAGGGCAGGGCCAGCAGCUGGGUUAUAAAUGAACCCUGCUAGGGCAGCGACCACAGCCCGGGUGAGAAGCUCCCAGUGACACCUGGCAUCCCUCCCUUCCUCUCAUGUUCUGCCCAGAGUUUGCCAGGCCCUUUGCUCCCUAGAGAGCCUAGACUCAGAGGGGCCUUUCCCUGUGUGUGGGCUGCAACCUACAACCUACAGAUGCCUGCCCAGAGAGCUGGGGAGCAGAGUUAAGGGGCCGGCUGGAGAUCAUCCAGAUGCACGGAGAAAAAGACAUCUUUUCCUUCCUUACCUCACUCAUUUAAUAUUUACUGAGUACCGGGACUUCCGUGGUGGUCCAGCGGUUAAGACUUCGCACUCCCAAUGCAGGGGGCCUGGGUUUGAUCCCUGGUCAGGGAACUAGAUCUCACAUGCAUCUUUAGUCCCCCGCAACUAAAGAUCCUGCACAGGGCAAUGAAGAUCCCGCGUGCUGCAACUAAGGCUCAGCGCAGCCAAAUAAAUGAAUAAAUACAUUUUUUUAAAUUUACUGAGUACCAAUCACAUGCCUGGCCCUUCUCUAAGCCUUACAUGAUGGGGGUGGAGGAAUGGGGAGGGAGCAAAAAAAGUGAAUUAAGACAUGCCUUCUGAACUGUCAUGUGUGUGGAAAAGUCAACCUCAGGUACUGACAUAGGAGGGCUCGAGGUAUGGAAUACUCAGGUUACUUCUGUUUGUCACGUCCGGGGAGUGUUACACAUGGAGGAGACCCACAACCUGGUUUUGUUCCCAGGGACGGAGGGAACAGCAAGUUCAAAGAGAAAGAAGUGUGAGAAUGUUUGCUGGAGGGUGGGAGGUGGGGAUGGGAUGAUACAGGGCAAAUAAUUCCAGGAUGGUUAAGUGCCCUACUCAAGCGAUUCACUCCUCACAGAUGAGGCACAAUGUCCGUCGGUCUCGGAGGAAUUGUUUCUUAACUGAGAAGAAAGCAGCUCAAGUCCAGAUAAUGGUGGAAAUUCAGGCAUCAGGAGUGUGUGUGUCUAUGGCCCAAGGUCAGGGUGAGCAGGAUAGAUUGGAUAGAGAGGUCUUUGCCCUUUUUCUUGCCUUUAUUAUUCCUCCCCAGUCACAAAUGCCUCUCUUCAGCUCCCUAGUUAAGGGUGGAUCUGCCUCUGCAGAGACCAGCAUUGUACACUUGGAUGACGUGUCUCUGAUCAGCGAUGUCCAAUGGCUUCCUCUCUCCUUCUCAGAUCCUGGCGCUGGAGCAGCGCCAUAUUUCUCUGGCUCCCAGCCUCCGCUUCUUGGCUUUGCUCUGAGCGUCGUCCCCAGAGAGCUGUGUUUCUACCACUGUUACCAGGAGAUCAUGCCUACCAGAGCCAAGCUGGGUGCCCAGAGCACCAGCAUCUAUUCUGGGGCCACAGCUGGAACUGGACCACCAUGGCCAGUGUCAUGAGUAUCUUGGCUUGGUUCUUUGACAUAGGUUCUAACAGUUUAGGUCAGGAGGUCAGAUCCUGGAUGGAAGAAGGAAUGUCUGAAUGUUUUCCACCAGCCUGGACUAAUUCUCACCCUCAUGGAAGCACUGGUGCUUCAGAAUGGUCCAGCUUUAUCUCUAAGCAGCCUGCUUCCCCAGUGAGCGCUGCGAAUUUUGAGUGACCCUCCGCCUCCUCCUCUGAAUUGCCAAGAGGAAGUGGAUUGAAGUAUAGCCAGGCAACCCAAGUGCGCUGAUCCAGGUGUGCUAUAGCCAUUGCUCCAAUUCCCCCAGGCGUUGCCUUUAGCAGUCCCUGAUGCUAGCGGUAAUCGAAGCCUGCCCAGUGCCAGGGAAGCAUUGAGAGGCUGAGCACUGCCCAGGGAGCUCCACUCCCAGCCUGAAGGGAAAACCCUAAGGAUACACUGGGACUGGGAAAGGGAAAAGGGUGGAGGGAUAUCUCUGGCAGAGUUAACAACUAAGCAAACAAGCUUAUGCACUGUAUUUAAUAUUUUCAACACCAUCAGAAUCACUUUUUAUUUCUACUGAAAGGGGAAGCUGAAUCUUAAAUUGUUCAUCUUAAACCUUCAAGACAAACUGGGCUGUUAUGAGAUUUGAAAACAAACAAAGCCCCGUUAAGAAAAGCUGAAUAAGCUUACUGUCGGGUGUUUUUACAUUGAUUGAUACACAUCUUUAAAUGUCAUUAAUCUGAAACAACUAACAGAGGCUCCUUAAUGUCCAUGAAGAAAAGAGUAAACUAUUACUUUUUUAAUAUUAUUCUGAUAUUAGAAAAAGUAUUCUCUUCCUAAAAGAAAAAAAAUGCUUUUUAUACCAAGGAACCAAGAAAUAUAUUUGCUUAGAAAUUAAUUUUUUUCCUUUAAUAUGUAAUCUUGCCAGGAAGCAAGAUACAAGUUUUGCAACAUUCUUAAAAGAAACACUUAUAAUUUUAGAUCGUAUUCCUCCUUAGGUUAAAAGGUAGGAGGCUUGGGUUUUGUUUUUUGUUUUUUUUUUAAACAAAGAAUUGCUUUAUUAACACAAACACACAAACUAUAAAGCACUAAAAUUUAAAUAUCUAAGUCAUAGCAAACAGGUGACAAUUCAACAUCCAGAGUCGACCAAAUGCUUGUCAGAGCAACAGAUAAGACUCCCAGGGUGGGACCUCCCUGGUGGUGCAGUGGUUAAGAAUCCGCCUGCCAAUGCAGGGGGCACAGGUUCGAUCCCUGGUCUGGGAAGAUCCCACAUGUCGUGGAGCAACUAAACCCGUGCGCCACAACUACUGAGCCCGCGUGCCACAACUCCUGAAGCCCGCACGCCUAGAGCCCAUGCUCCGCAACAAGGGAAGCCACCGCGAUGAGAAGCCCACACACCGCAACAAAGAGUAGACCCCGCUCACCGCGCAACUAGAGAAAGCCCGCGCACAGCAACGAAGACCCAAUGCAGCCAAAAUUAAAUCUUUUUUUUUUUAAAGUACUAGUCAAGCCAAGAGACGGGACUAGAUUCAAAAGUACAAGAGGAAAAAAGUCAAAGAAAGAGAAUCGCAGACAUUAGAGUUAGCAAAACAAAGACUGUAAAAUAAUGGAUUCAUGUGUUGAAGAAAAUAGGUGAAAUGAUAAAAAAUUUCACCAGAGAACUGUAAUCAAUAAAAAUGAAUCAAAUGGCAACUCUAGAGCUGAAUGAUGCAACAGCUGAGAUAACGAUUUCAAUUAGGUAGAUUUAUAGCACAUAAACCAAGCAUAAAAUUGGAUUAAUAUGUAAAGCAAUUAUACUCCAAUAAAGAUGUUUAAAAAAAUUGGAUUAAUAAACCAGAAAACAGGUCAAUAGAAAAUAACAUAGUAGAGAAAGAAGGAAAAAUAGAAAAUAAAGAGCAUAGGUAUGUUGAACACAAUUAGAACACAUGUUCUAACAUGUGGAAUUCUAGAAGAAAAGAGAAUUAGGCAAAAGCAAUUUGAAGAGAUAAUGGCCAAACAUUUCUCAAAACUGAGUAAAGAUAUCAACCCAGAGAUUCAAGAAUCUCUGUGAACCCCAAGCCCCCAAGCAGAAUAAGUACAAAGAAAACUACUGCCAGGCUUAUAAUAGCAAAAGUGCUAAAACAAACAAAAAAUAGAAAACUAUAAAUGCAGCCAGAGGGGGAAAAAAGAUAACUAAAGGAACAAUAGCUGAGGUGUCAUCUCCAUUUCCCAACAAAAAUGAGGGAACCAGAAGACAACAGAAUGCUAUAUUUUUAAAAUUUACUUAUUUAUGUAUUUAUGGCUGUGUUGGGUCUUCGUUUCUGUGCGAGGGCUUUCUCCAGCUGUGGCAAGCGGGGGCCCCUCUUCAUCGCGGUGUGCGGGCCUCUCACUAUCGCGGCCUUUCUUGCUGCGGAGCACAGGCUCCAGACGUGCAGGCUCAGUAAUUGUGGCUCACGGGCCCAGACACUCCGCGGCAUGUGGGAUCUUCCCAGACCAGGGCUCGAACCCGUGUCCCCUGCAUUGGCAGGCAGACUCUCAACCACUGCGCCACCAGGGAAGCCCCCCAGAAUGAUAUUUUUAAAGUGCUAGGGGAAAAUAACUUUCAAAAUAUCCUUCAAAAAUACAAAGUAAAGAUAUUUUUAGACAAACAAAAAACAGAGAAUUCAUCACUGUCAUAUCUGCUCAAAAACAAAUACUAAAAGGAGUUUUUUAAGCAGUAAGGAAUGGUUCCAAAUAGGAACACAAAAAUAUAAGAAGAGUACACACACACACACACACACAGAGGAAUAUUAUUCAGCCAUGAGAAGGAAUGAAAUUCUGCCAUUUGUGACAACAUGGAUGGUCCUAGAGGGUGUUGCUAAAUGAAAUAAGUCAGAGAAAAACAAAUGCUGUAUGAUUUCACUUAUAUGGGAAAUCUAAAAAAGCUGAACUUGUAGAAACAAAGAGUAGAAUGGUGGUUACCAAGGGUGGGGGGGGAUGGGGAGAUGUUGGUCAAAUGUACAAACUUCUAGUUAGAAGAUGAAUAGGUUCUGGGGACGUAAUGCACAGCACUGUGAUUAUAGAUAAUCAUACUGUACUAUAUAUAUACGUGAAAGCUGCUAAAUGAGCAGGUCUUAAAUGUUCUCACCACGUAAAAGAAAUGAUAACGACGUGACGUGGUGGAGGUGUCAGCUAAUACUACUGGUGUUAUUUGUUAUAGCAGGCUGAACAGACCAAGACAUUUUCAUUUCCCAAACCAGCAUCAGUUGUGUUCCUGAGGCAGAUUGAAUGAAGAUGCUGAAAGAAUUAAGUAUUUUCAUCUCUAAAGGACAUCUUUGUGAUUAAAGGUCCCAAUGAUCAGAAGCUUACAGUCCUAAUAAUAAGGGGGGAGGGGAACACAUUUUAAACUAUAUAGAAUAAACCUUAAUCUUAGAAACAACAAAAUAAGUUCUAAUGAAAUGCAAAAAAAUCCACUCAUUUUAUUAGAGAACUAAGAAUGACUAAGAACUAAGGAAAAGGAAAAUAUUUGUUUCCCUCGCAAUCUGUCUUUCCUUUCAUGUCAAUAAACAAGUGAGAAAAUUGGAGCAUGGUAUACACAAAACUUACUGAUGAAACAUCAUGUGUACUUAAAGAAUCAUACAACCUGUCAAUACUGUGCAUGUAUAAUGGGACUAGCAGAAGAAAGAAAGGAAGGGAGAGAGGGAGGGAGGGAGGAAGGAAGGGAGGAUAAAUAUUUACCAAAUGAUAGAAAUAUAGAGAUUUAUUGUUUUGACAAUUAAGUGACCAGUGGAAUGUUAGCAAAGGCAUUCAGUAGUGAACUUACUGAGUAGACUCUACGGGUGGGUCUCACUGAACAUCUCACUGAGUAUCUUCACUUCUGAUUAUCUCCAUUAGGUGAAAUUCCACAGGUAAGUGGGCAUCCGAGAAAGGGAGUCAUGCUCCUGGCAUCCAUCUCAUUAGAGGUAAACCUCCCUUGCACCCCUUUUCCUGAAGAAGCUCCCUCUCCCCGGCUUAGACAUGGUGUUACCCCCUCACUAGAGAAGACCCCAUAUGCAAAAAGAUAAUAAUUGUCCCUCAGACCCACUCCCCAUCACAUGAUAGGCUAGGAAUCGGGGAGUCUCACUGAAUGUGGACAGUCACUACUGUCAUUCUGCUUUUUUAGAGUUGGAGUUGACUACUGCCUAACAUUGCAUUUAAAAAGCUGCUCAGCCUAGCUCCAAACGCUUUGUUUCAAAGACUGUUACGUAAGAGAAUGUUCAUUUGUAUCAAAAACAGUUAUGUACCAUUGCAUGUAUCUUAAGUUAUUUAGACAGUUGGGUUGUUGCCUGGAAAGAAAGUUCAGAGGAACUUUAUCUUCUGACUCUCCCCAUUAGGUGAAAUUCCGUAGUUGAGUGGAUAUCCAAGAAAGGGAGUCACGCGCCUGGUAUCCGUCCCAAUAGAGAUGAACCUCCCUUUCCCUCCUUUCCUGAAGAAGCUGCUCUUCCCUGGCUUAGACACGAUGUAACCGCCUCACUAGAGGAAGACCCCAUGCAAGAAAGCAAACAAUAACUUCCCUCAGGACCUACUCCUCAACAAGAGCCAGUAAUCAGAAUGGGAUCCCAGCAUUCAGCGACAUGUAAAUGGAAAACACAUGUACAUGUGACAGCAGAUUCUGAAAGAGAAAGUUUGCCUAUUAAGAAGAUUAGAGAUAUUUUGUUUGUUAAUGUCGAUACAAAUCCAAGGACUUUUCUGGGAAGUGGAUUUUGAGGACCACCAGCCAAGGGAAGAGGAGUAUUAUUUUACAUCAGGCUGAAAUUGUCGAUCUAGACGGAUUUAACAGAGAUUCUGAGUUCGGGGUGUUUUUUGGCACAUCUGGGUGUGAUUCUGCUAGAUACAUGUGUAUCUAGCAGAUACAGCAAACUGCCAGAUACAGUUCUGGAUGAUGUAAAGGAAGCUUAGAUGCCAUAAAGCCCUUGGCAUUUUGCACAGGAAGAAACUAAGACCUGGAGACAUAACAAUGCUGAGUUAGUUCCAUUAUAUAUAUAUCCCCUUCGUUCACACGCCAUGUCCCUUUAUAGGACCCCAAAUUUUCUCCCCUCCCUGAAAUUGAGAAACACAUCAGUAUGGGAAGCGCUAGUUCUUUUCAAUGAGUUUUACUGGCUCUCCUAAAAAACAAAAAUAUGUUACUCAAGAAGACAUCUGGAGGCUGUACAAUGACCAUGUGCUUAUUUACUCUGCUCUGAUUUCUAAUUUCAAUAGUAGCCUCCAUAUAAAGUAAAAGUACUCAAUUACCUCAAAUUUGAUUUAGGUUAAGGUAUCAUAAGCAAUUAAGAAUUUUAGAAAAUACAUUUAAACUGAUACCAUGAAACAUAAUCAUCAUUGAAAAUAAGCAUUUGUCAGAAAAAUAGGCCAUCUUAAAACUUUCUACCCAGAUAGUAUGGUGGAAUAACUCAUAGCUACACAAAGUUUUCAAUUUUAUCUGACUUGUAAGAACUCGUUUAUAAAGAUUUUUUAUUUAAAUCAUACCAAUUUAGGGCUCCCCUGGUGGCGCAGUGGUUGCGAGCCCGCCUGCCGAUGCAGGGGACACAGGUUCGUGCCCUGGUCCGGGAAGAUCCCACAUGCCGCUGAGCGGCUAGGCCCGUGAGCCAUGGCUGCUGAGCCUGCGCGUCUGGAGCCUGUGCUCUGCAAUGGGAGAGACCACAACAGUGAGAGGCCCGUGUACGGCAAAAAAGCAAUCAAUCAAUCAAUAAAUCAUACCAAUUUAGUUGAAUACACACGUAUACUUUUAUAUAUUCUUUUUAUUUAUUUAUUUAUUUGGUUGUGCUGGGUGUUAAUUGCAGCUCGUGGGCUCCUUAGUUGCGGCUCGCCAGCUUCUUAGUUGCAGUAUGUGGGCUCCUUAGUUGCAGCUCCAGGGCUCUUUUUUAGUUGCGGCUCACCAGCUCCUUAGUUGUG